rnacentral:rRNA from 1 species
GAAUCUGCCUGGUAGUGGGGGACAACGUUUCGAAAGGAACGCUAAAUACCGCAUACGUCCUACGGGAGAAAGCAGGGGACCUUCGGGCCUUGCGCUAUCAGAUGAGCCUAGGUCGGAUUAGCUAGUUGGUGAGGUAAUGGCUCAACCAAGGCGACGAUCCGUAACUGGUCUGAGAGGAUGAUCAGUCACACUGGAACUGAGACACGGUCCAGACUCCUACGGGAGGCAGCAGUGGGGAAUAUUUGGACAAUGGGCGAAAGCCUGAUCCAGCCAUGCCGCGUGUGUGAAGAAGGUCUUCGGAUUGUAAAGCACUUUAAGUUGGGAGGAAGGGCAGUAAGUUAAUUACCUUGCUGUUUUGACGUUACCGACAGAAUAAGCACCGGCUAACUCUGUGCCAGCAGCCGCGGUAAUACAGAGGGUGCAAGCGUUAAUCGGAAUUACUUGGGCGUAAAGCGCGCGUAGGUGGUUCGUUAAGUUGGAUGUGAAAGCCCCGGGCUCAACCUGGGAACUGCAUCCAAAACUGGCGAGCUAGAGUACGGUAAGAGGGUGGUGGAAUUUCCUGUGUAGCGGUGAAAUGCGUAGAUAUAGGAAGGAACACCAGUGGCGAAGGCGACCACCUGGACUGAUACUGACACUGAGGGUGCGAAAGCGUGGGGAGCAAACAGGAUUAGAUACCCUGGUAGUCCACGCCGUAAACGAUGUCAACUAGCCGUUGGAAUCCUUGAGAUUUUAGUGGCGCA